AUUUUCCGGAAUCGUAUACAGAAGUCAGCGGACAUAGUGUAACAGCCGACAACUCAGAUAUGGCGAUGUUCAUCGAGUAUCCAAAUCUCAUCUCUCAUAUGAAGGAUUGCAGUAUCGGACGGUAUUUUGACGAAGAGAACAUGGAUGUCUUCACAACAUUAAACUAAGAUAUUCAGGUAGUGCUAAGGAAACAAAAAAGGAUAUUAGAGCUACGAAUUACUAUUCACAUCGAUUGAUGAUCCGUGAAAAAGCUGCAAAUCAGAUCUUAAAAUGUCGACAAUUGUUCCAGUACUACAUUCGAUUAAAUUCAACCAAACGGC